GACGAACGCUGGCGGCGUGCCUAAUACAUGCAAGUAGAACGCUGAAGGAGGAGCUUGCUUCUCUGGAUGAGUUGCGAACGGGUGAGUAACGCGUAGGUAACCUGCCUGGUAGCGGGUGAUAACUAUUGGAAACGAUAGCUAAUACCGCAUAAUAGUAGAUGUUGCAUGACAUUUGCUUAAAAGGUGCAAUUGCAUCACUACCAGAUGGACCUGCGUUGUAUUAGCUAGUUGGUGGGGUAACGGCUCACCAAGGCGACGAUACAUAGCCGACCUGAGAGGGGGAUCGGCCACACUGGGACUGGGACACGGCCCAGACUCCUACGGGAGGCAGCAGUAGGGAAUCUUCGGCAAUGGACGGAAGUCUGACCGAGCAACGCCGCGUGAGUGAAGAAGGUGUUCGGAUCGUAAAGCUCUGUUGUAAGAGAAGAACGAGUGUGAGAGUGGAAAGUUCACACUGUGACGGUAUCUUACCAGAAAGGGACGGCUAACUACGG
rnacentral:rRNA from 1 species